rfam:Oryza glumipatula chromosome 11, whole genome shotgun sequence.
AAAAAGGCAAACCCUAGGUUUCCGUGUCCAACUUUGAUUGUCCGUCUUAUAUGAAAUUUUUUUAUAAUUCGUAUUUUCAUUGUUGUUAGAUGAUAAAACAUGAUUAAUAUUUUAUGCGUGACUUGUUUUUUUAUUUUUUUUUCAUAAUUUUUUCAAAUAAGACGGAUGGUCAAACGUUAGGCAUGGAAACCAGGGUUUGUCUUUUU